rnacentral:rRNA from 1 species
GAUGAACGCUAGCGGCAGGCUUAAUACAUGCAAGUCGUGGGGCAGCAGGGGUGUAGCAAUACAUCUGCUGGCGACCGGCAAACGGGUGCGUAACACGUACGCAACCUUCCCGUUACUGUGGCAUAGCCCAGGGAAACUUGGAUUAAUACCACAUAUUAUAUAGAGAGGGCAUCCUUUUUAUAUCAAAGCUUCGGCGGUAACGGAUGGGCGUGCGGUUGAUUAGGUAGUUGGCGGGGUAACGGCCCACCAAGCCUACGAUCAAUAGCUGAUGUGAGAGCAUGAUCAGCCACACGGGCACUGAGACACGGGCCCGACUCCUACGGGAGGCAGCAGUAAGGAAUAUUGGGCAAUGGACGAAAGUCUGACCCAGCCAUGCCGCGUGAAGGAUUAAGGUCCUCUGGAUUGUAAACUUCUUUUCUCUGGGGCGAAAACCAGCUAUUCUUAGCUAUUUGACAGUACCAGAGGAAUAAGCACUGGCUAACUCCGUGCCAGCAGCCGCGGUAACAC